AUUGAACGCUGGCGGCAGGCCUAACACAUGCAAGUCGAGCGAGCGGCGGACGGGUGAGUAAUGUCUGGGAAACUGCCUGAUGGCGGGGGAUCACUACUGGAAACGGUAGCUAAUACCGCAUACCAUCAGAUGUUCCCAGAUGGGAUGAGCUAGUAGGUGGGGUAACGGCUCACCUAGGCGACGAUCCCUAGCUGGUCUGAGAGGAUGACCAGCCACACUGGAACUGAGACACGGACCAGACUCCGACGGGAGGCAUCAGUGGGUAAUAUUGCACAAUGGGCGCAAGCCUGAUGCAGCCAUGCCGCGUGUAUGAAGAAGGCCUUCGGGUGGUACAGUACUUUCAGCGGCGAGGCGUUACCCGCAGAAGAAGCACCGGCUAACUCCGUGCCAGCAGCCGCGGUAAUUC
rnacentral:rRNA from 1 species